UAGGCAGCCUCCCUGAAGUCUCCACACCAGGGUCCCCUAGCGCAGUGAGCCUCGGAGGCUGCUGAGAGACCUCCCUGUACUGCAGCCUUAGGAGCCAGAGUGUGCCCAGCCCACCAGAGCCAUGGUUAAAAAUAACAGCAGACCUGCUACUGGACUUGGAAGGAGCCAGAGGUGACCUGCUUCCCACUGGGGGCCAUGCUCUCCAGAGGUGUGAGCUCAUGGGACUGUAAUGGCCUUAGGGGGAGGAGAGCCAGCUCAAAUGGGGAAAGUGAGGCUCAGAAACAGUGCUGCCUCUGUCCCUGGCCUUCUGUGCUCACUCGUGCCGGUGGGGACAUCAACACCUAAGGGGACCCCAGAGGAAGAACUUGGUAACCAGAGGACACAAACCAUCUCAAAGCUGCCCGCCCGUGAUGACCCAGUGUCUGUCAGUGCCUUGGAGAUGACCAAAUCCACCACCUAACUAGUUCACAGGGAGGGGUGUUGGGAAAGGUUGUUGUUGGCUGACAGAACCUGAGGGAGACUCAGCUACCAGCUGGAUCCAGGGGAGACCUCUCUGUGAACACCUCCAUCCACAGGGCACAGGGUUCUAUCUUCUGCUCUUGGCUCCUUAACAAACCUCAACCAAUGGCAACCAACAGCCCACCCUGCCUCUCGGGGCCCUAACAUUUAUAGGCCCUCUGAAAAGUCCUUAGAGUUUCAAACGUCACACAAUUGCAGAAACGGCACACUAUCUGCAUAAGGCAAAAUCACAGCCCUGCGAGCACACAAUGGAAGUACAGUCAGCAGCUGUGGACAAGCAGCCUGUAUCCCACACCUGGGAACCCCAUGCACAGUGAAGAGAGGCCAAGCUGGCCCUAGUUCCUGCCAGAGGGGAGCUGGACUCUGGGAAAGUUCACCUAGUCCUCCGGUCCUGACAACAGUCAGACCAUUUCUCAGCAGAGGCUGGAGCCAAACAAAGGUGCUGUGACUAAAGACGUGGGCCGACAUUGCCAGACAGAACACCGUGUCUUAAAAGAAAACAGUAAACGGUUGAUGGGGCCACUCCCUGACUGGAACUGCUUAGCUUUGCAACCUCUUUCCCUCUUUUAAACCUACACCUUGUGUUGGGGCCCCAAAGAUGGAUUUGGGGGUCACUGGGGCUGUUUAUCUGAUGUCUAUGCUCCUCAGCAUGAUUCUGUCUCUCACUGUCCUGUCGGAGCAAGUAGCUGAACCUGGCAUGUCACUGUCUCCAUGCUCUGACCUGACAACUUAAGUGACACUUCCAUCCAGUGUCCACUUUACAGUCCCCUGAGGUUGGGUGGCCUCCCCUGGGCCUUUCUGCAGCCCUCCCAUAGCUAAAUGUCUCUGGUGAGGAUUCCAGACUGGCAAAACCUUUCGGUGCACGUACCCACGACGCAAGGGACGCUGGGAAAAUAAGUCUUCUGGCAUCUCUCAGGGCAGGGAAACUCCCUCUGCGUGGGCCAGAUGCUGGAGGCUAGGAAGUGGGGCAAAGGUCAGCUCUCCAGGUAAAGGCCUGGCUGGGCCUGCACAGGAAUGCAGGAAGGAUUCCAGCACCUUCCUGGACCGGGGUGAACCUCUCCUCAGCUCAAGUCAGAGAACAGCACAGAGAGGGCUGGCAUGUUUAUGUCACCUAGUUCUGCAAGGAUAAGGGAGAGCCAGGGCCCAGACCACAACAUCAGUGCCUCCAGUGGCUGGGAGCCCAGGCUUGCACGGGUGUUCAGAAACUACAGUGCGUGGGUAGAGGCCAUUUCUCUCCAGAAAUGAAGUUCUAGCUCCUUCAAGGCUCCAGGCCUGGCUUUGUCUAUUGGUUGGGUCUUCUUCCAUAGGAGAGAAAAGUCCUCAGGCCCUCGUUGGAGCAAAGCACAGUAAAAAGAAAGCUCCUGCAUAUUAACACAGCACAGCAAGGCUUCUGGUCGACUUCAAAACGAUAAGAGCAGAUGAGAGCAAUGGUCACAGAAAAAAAGAAGCCGUGUAACUGGUGUCAAGAUGCCGCACAGGCAUCAGAAUGAGAAGCUGGAGGCAGCUCUCUGGGCAGUCGUAGGCUGGAGAACUCUUUGGAAAACCUACACGCUCAUCCAUUCAUUUCCUCAGACCUACCAUGUGUCUGUGGAGAGUGACAUGGCUGCCGCUGCCUCCCGUGACAACAACCACACCACACACACAAACGUCACAGACUUCCGUGCUGGAACAGCGCUUCCACAUCAGGGAGAGGGGUGCCAGGAUGCUUCCCGGCCUGCAGAAGAGGGAGUGAGAUGAUGGCUGAGCCUGGCUUCCUUCUGCUCCCCCCUCUUUUUAUAUUGUCAUAGGGAGGGGCUCAAAAGCAGCAACAAAGUGUAGAGGAGAUGGAGUCGGGUCCUGGAGAACCAUGUGUCUGACUGACGGAGAAAGAACUUGACAACUUCAUUAGCAGGAAGGAAAAGCAGAGCCUGGGGCAGAAGGAGGCUUGGCUCGCACAGGACAUCUCCAGACCCUUAACGGGUCCAAACAAUAUUGGCAGGUGAAGGCAUCCUAGGAUAAAGCUAUAGGAAGGCCCCCGCUUUGCUUUCGUGAAAAAUGCAAAUGAAAGCCACAGGAAGAUCAAAUCCACGGCUCCGUAGGAAACGUAGGAAACGGUGCUGGCUGAGCAAGCACAAGGACCUGCGUUCAAAUAUCCAGAACCUACAUUAACAGAAGGCGUUUCUGGAUGCUGGGGACGUGGAGAAUGGCCUGACCUGUUCUCAGAAGAGGAAUGACCUUGUCCAUCAGUGAGUCUCCCACACUUAGAAAUGUCCCUGAUAUGAUGUAGAGCCUGGUAUAUGUUCGUUAUUUGAUAAAAAAAAAAUCAGAAAUGGUGCUGUGGAACGGAUAUGUCUCUGAUCGCACAGAUGCUAACGGCAACAUCAGUAUCUGAACUGGGAGCUGGCCCUAUAAUUAAUUGGCACCUAACGUGAGUGACGCUGGACAGCCCCACCCCAAUGUAGCAGAACUCCAUGCUCCACGGAGAGCCAGACAUUCACCCUUCCUUACAGAGCCUGCAUCCCCACUGACAUUUCCAGGACACACUGGACAUCUGGGAAACUGAAGAUCAGAGAGGGUGAGGCUCUUCCUCAGGCUGCACAGUAACCAGCCUGCAGAGCUGGGUGGGCUUCAAUCUUGCCAGGCAGUGCCACUGGCCCUUGUCACUUCCAACAUGUUCUGGACCCUGAGGAGUCAUAAGGGCUACCUACCCAGAAUUAUGACACUUGUCAGUCUCAGGUAGUCUCCAGCAAGGAAUUCUGGGAAGUGAACUGGGGUCAGGAUCUGGGUCCCUGGUGUUUGAAGCCAGCCAGGCCACUUCUCUGCUGUACAGCCGCAGGUAAAUGGCCCCUCCUCCUUCUGAUAUUUCCGGCUGAGGUUCUGCAGAACCGGAAGGGUUAUCUUCCUACACCGUGGGUCCUGAGCCCACACGGUGCCACCUAAAUGAGUGUGGGGUUGUGAAAAAAAAUUCAGCAACUGUGAAAUGUUUCUGAGCACAUAACCACCAAAACUUAGUUCAAAGUCAGACAUGUAACAAGCCUGAGCAGUUUCUGCUGCACUCUCCUAUAUCGGAAUUCGUGACUUCAGCACAGCCUUGGCCUGGACCAAAGGCAGCGUAUGUACCCUGCAUGCCACCCACUACUCAACACCACCAAACACCACCUGAAACAGCACCCUCAGGCAGAAGGAACGGGGAUGCUGCUCAGGCCUGUGGGGGUAAGAAAUGAAUCCAGCAUCUGACGCUGGGGAGCCCUGAAGCCACAGGUGUCAGACGUGGAGGCCGAGUGCCCGCCGGCCUGCAUGGUGACCCAGAUUGAGAGGGCGCGGAAUCCCAGGGUGCUCUGCAAGCUCCGUGCAGCCCUCGGUGCCUUUGCUCUGAACCAGGCCCGUUUCCAUGUGGUGGGUGCAUUGCACAGUACCAUCCGCCCCCAGGCGGUUCCAGCUGGAAGCCAGACAGGCCUUUUGCUCCUGGAAUGCGGGACCCACGCCAAGCUGUGGAGAGGGCCGGCUGAUAACGGAGUGCUGACCACUGCAGACUGCUUCCUAGAGAAAUGCCUUCACCUCUUCUGCCCAAGUUCCCAGGAUGUGGCAAGCCCCAAGAUUCCUGGGUCAGUGGGGCAAAUUUCCAGAAUCUUCCAUCCCAGCCUCACAUAUUCCCAAGAAAGUGUAACAAAAGCUUCCUGGCUGGGGAGUUCUGGGAGUCGAUUAAAAAAUGCAAGAGGGUAUGCUGGCCACACUAAAGUGCUCUUUCUCUCUGGGUCCUCUUCUUGAGGGAAAAUUGUUUGUUUACCCAGGGAUGGUUAUGCCCGCAGCCGUGGCUGCUCUAUCCCUCCACCCACCAGCCCUGUGCCAGCACCUCAUGGCCGUCAGUCACCAGCACAUCUGUCUCUUUGCUCUGAGGGCCACACAAGACACACAGGAAGUGACUGAGCAUCUGUGCCUUCAACAGCCAUCUUCCUCACAUUAAUGAGCUGGGCAGGAGCUCACUACAUCUCUCUGUCCCUCUUCCCGAUAUGACCACACUGAAUAAGGCUCUUUUUCUAUUUUCUACUUUAAAACUGGCUGAGACCGGUGGCUGAACCUAAGUUGAGGCAAAGGUUGUGAGCCCCAAGUUCGGUAAUACCUAGGGGUUUGAUGGAGCCUGGGUCUGUCCCAUCCAGUCCCUGCUGCCUGGUGAGAAUGUCUUGGAGGUUGUUUUGUGUUGUGUACGGGGACCAGGAACUCUCUGUGGGAUUCAGUGGCCACUGGGCAGUGCCAGCUCUAGAAUGGCCCUGCGAGGGCUGCCUUCCCCCAUUAGCCUCGUGUCCCCAUCCUUAACUUUCUGGUGACAGCCUCAGUCCCAGGUUGAGACCCAGGAUUUUGUAGGUCAGAUAGAUGUGGCUGUCCCCACCCCAUCCCCAAAUGCCCAGGACUCAGAAGUUGGACAACACCAGACUUCAGGGAGACACUGGGCCCUGUGUUGAAGCCUCUACACCGCCCUGCCCUCUGUUCUCAAGA